rnacentral:rRNA from 1 species
CCAGACUCCUACGGGAGGCAGCAGUGAGGAAUAUUGGUCAAUGGCCGAAGGGCUGAACCAGCUAAGCCGCGUGAAGGAAUAAGGCCCUACGGGUCGUAAACUUCUUUAGUCAGGGAACAAAGGGUGCCACGCGUGGCGCUGUGAGUGUACCUGAAGAAUAAGCAUCGGCUAACUCCGUGCCAGCAGCCGCGGUAAUACGGAGGAUGCGAGCGUUAUCCGGAUUUAUUGGGUUUAAAGGGUGCGUAGGCGGACUGGAAAGUCAGCGGUAAAAUCGGGAGGCGCAACCUCUUUCCGCCGUUGAAACUGUCGGUCUUGAGUGGGCGAGAAGUAUGCGGAAUGCGUGGUGUAGCGGUGAAAUGCAUA